AAAAGCAAUAUGCCUCGUCAGCUGAACGCAGUGCAUAGCAUCUACGUGUUGGAGGCUCAAUAACAAAGGACGGCUGCUUGCCUACCGUUACAGGUCAUCAUAACAACAGCAGGCAACAAUGAUUGCAGUUAUGAUACUCGGACUCUUAUUUACAGUUGCGGCACGUAAGCAAGCAGUGAAUGAGCACUUUUCUGGCUUCACUUGCACUCCGCCAAAGGAAGGAUGUCCACAGCCAACUUCGACGUCACGAAAGCAGCUGUUCUUCUUCAACACCAGUAGCCAUGAGUGUUACGGCAUAUACACCAGUGGUUGCGAUGGAUAUGGCUUCACUUCCUUGCUAUCCUGUACGACUAACUGUGGCCAACGAAGAACGCUAUGAAAAAGAAACUUGCCACCCAUAAUUUCUCUUUCACUGACGUUCCUCCACCUUACGCGAUUCCGUAGAACUGAUUUGCCAAAUAAAGCUAUUCUAA